ACAAAUUUAGGGCAUGAGUGCAGUGCACUUCUCUCCCUUCCUCUCCCAUGUGUACGUGUGCAGUGAAUUUUGAGAGAAGUUCGAAUCUUGAGCUGAAGUGAAGGAAACAAGAAUUCAGAAGCUAGAUUAAAGCUGUAGCAACUCAGUAGAAGCUCCAUAACAAGCUUCUAAGUUCAGAUUCAUGAGUGAUCAAGGUAAAUCUCGAAAUUUUAGUUAAAACAUAUGUUUACUUGGAAAUACAAGAUUAAAGAUAUAAAGCUUGUACUUAUUUCAACAGAGCAUGUAGUCUUGUUUGUUGAGUGAUAGCUUGGAAUGGUUUCAUUGUUACAUAAGUCAUGGUUUGGAAUAGUUACGCCAUUUUGCUCACCAAGUGUUUGUCAAAGUGUCUGACUUUUUGCGCACAAAUAAUUUCCUUUCUUUUUUUACCAUGCGAAUUAUUGCUCCAUUUUGGAGAUUUACUUCGUUAGCUUCCAGUAAGUGAAGAAAUUAUAUUGUUUUUUUUUUUCUUUCCAGUUUCUUUUACUCUUGCUGUAAAUAUGGAUAUCC
rnacentral:lncRNA from 1 species